rnacentral:lncRNA from 1 species
GGGGGGGGGGGGGGGGGAGGUUGUAUAAUUCAAGAUUUGAACAUUAUGGUUUCAUGUUGCGGAUUCUGUCACUAAACUCAUUUGAUUUGCUAGAUUUUAAGUCAGUUAUUCAUAGUAUCUAAUGAAUUUUCAACACUUGAAUAAAUUCCGAGCCUAAAAUAUUGCGUGAUAAAUUAAACUUUACAUUCGUCCCUACGUAAUAUUGUUGUGUUUUCUAAGCUGGAGCACAUUUUUCAAAUAUAAAGUGCUCUAUUCUUUCCUUUUCAAUCUUAUAUUAAACUUGAUGGAAAUGAUUUCUAACCACACAAACUUUUCUGAUUUGUUUUGAACUACACAUUUCAAAAGUGGUUCAUUAUUUGUUAAAUUUAAUGCCGAGUCUUUUUCACUGAGCCGAGAGUCGAUUGAAAACAGCCUCUCUAUCCUUUCGGGUAGGGGUAAGAUCCGUCUGCAUAUUACCCUCUCCAGACCCCAUAUUGAGUAGUUGUUGUUGUUGUUGAUGCCUGAGUCUAUUACUUUCAGAUAACUUGAGACGUAGAGGGAUUAUAUUUAUGUUUUGUGAGAAUAGUGGUACUUUGUAUCCAUUAAAUUAAAAUUUUGGAUGAUUAACGUUGAGGAAAAUUUUCAGAGAUGGGACCAACGACAAUUGCAGAGGCAAGAACCUGUGAGUCUCAGAGCCACCGUUUCAAGGGACCAUGCUCAAGAGAUAGCAACUGUGCCACCGUCUGUUUGACCGAAGGAUUUUCCGGUGGCGACUGCCGUGGAUUCCGCCGCCGUUGUUUCUGUACUAGGCCUUGCUAACUGAGAAUAUUAUCGCUUAAUUAUAUAAGUAAACGUAACUUAAUUUGAAAUAAGCACUAUGAUUGUUCAAAGAUUGACGUGCUAGCUAGUUUGAUUUCUUAAACUAGUGGUCUUGAUCUUUGAUUGUAUGCAACUAUGGUGGUAGACUUUGGUAUGCAUUUCUAUUAUGUAUUUUUGAUUUUCUGUAAUGCUAUUGAGUAAUUUAUCUUCUUCCCUCUCUUUUUUUUUGGCAUUUGUUCAAAGUCAAUCCUAUUUGAACCGACUAGAGAUUUUCUAGGAGUUCUAUUCAAGGUCAGCUUCCUCUUUAUGACUAGACUCUACUAGGGUAAUGUUGUAUUACGAGGCCCGGGCCUAAAUGGCCAAACGUUAAAAUAUCCUGAUAUAACCAGUUUUUAUAUUGAUCAAUAAAAAAUAGCUACUGUU